CGUGUUACUGAUAUAGAAACGGAAUAACGGCGCUGCGGGCUGGGGAGGGCGGAGCUGCCUUCAGGCUUCUGGUCUCCAGCUGCGGGUCACUCACACCUGCCGCAGUGAAAUGCAGACCCGCGGGGCAGAAAUUCCGAGUCCGGGCUGGAGCGCGAUCUGGAAUCUGACUCGCUUGAAACAGCACCGCGGAGGAUUCGGAGCCAGGAAAACCCACAACUAAGAGGCCAGGAAAAAGCCUCCCAGGGUACCGCCACUUCAGUGAGGAUCCUAAUUUAAGCCCCGAGUGUGGCCUCCAUCAAAGACUGGAGUGACCUUCACUGAAAUGAUACAAGGUCAGCAGUGCCCAGGGCGCUGCGGCUCACAGAAUACGGUGACAGCGCUGCCUCGCGUCCCUUCCCUGACCUUCCCCAGGCAGACGCGGUGAAGUGUGUUGGUGUUGUGUGAGGCUGGAAUACAGCGGGGGUCAAGAGCAGAGAAUGGAGAAAGAUGGGAGGCUGCGAGGUCAAGUAACAGAGAACAUGAGCUUCUGCCUCCAGAUGUGCCAGGGUGUGUCUCUUGGGUACAAGAACAAGGGUUUCAUUUUGUUUUACAAAAUCAAAGUACAAAUCUCAAAUAGGAUAAUAUUUUUAAACCGUUUUGGGGCAUACUUUGCAUGCAAUAAAUGUAUCUAUUUGAAAUGUACAGCUCAUUGAGUUUUACUCUUUGGCUGUUUUACACACCCACGUAUCCACUACCACAAUGAAGAUUAAUAACAUUUCCAUAGUCCCCUAAAGAACAGCCAUGCGAUAAAAUUCCAUGCAGUCGUUAAAAAGAGGACGAUGAGCUUUCAAAUGAGAAGAUCUGUGCCCAGCCUAUUUUUACCCAUUUUUAAAAGGACAAGGAUGUAUGGAAUUAUAAUACCAGUAAUGUCACUUACAUAAUAUAUAUUUUAAGUAUAUUAAGGGAAAACCCAGAGGAUUACUCACCAAAAUUUUGACAGGGAACCCAGGGACUGGGAUAACUUUGUGACUUUCACUUUCUCUGAAAUGCUGGAAUUUUAUAUUACAGUAUAAACUUGGAUUUUAGCCAGGAACGAUGGCUCAGGCAUGUAAUCAGCUCUGGAAGCUGAAGGAUACCUUGAGCCCAGGAGUUUGAGGCUGCAGUGAGCUAGGAUCUGACCACUACACUCCAGCCUGGAUGACAGAAAGAGAUCUUGUCUCAAAAAUGAAUAAAGAAAAUUUAAAAAUAAAAAUAAUAAACUUGAAUUUGUAUGGUGGUUAAGAAAAAUAUUUGUUUGAAAACAUUAUAAAGGUAAGCCACACACCCAAAUAGUUACAGGAUUUUAAAAACCAUAGUGUUAAUUAAAACCCAACUCCAGAAACUCACUUUUAAGGGGACUUCAUAUUUUCAUGUCAUUAAAUCUUUCUCAAAGUGUCUUUGAUAGAGCUGUUUUCAGUGCAGUAGAGAGAUAUGUAACUAUUUUACAAAAGGGGCGGGCUAUAAUAAAAAGGGAAACGCAAAAUCCAGUGGGGACACGCUGUACCAUUUAUUUUCAAAGCACGUUUGAAAACUGGGUUGCUAGAGUGUCUUUGGGUUGAGACAAAGUCGAGGAAAAUCUUGUUCCUGGAGUGUUGAUUUCCUUUUUCCAAGGGCCAAAGCCUUUCGAAGCAAGUCUAAAAACUCAGGCUGACUUUCAGAUCUGAAGAAAUCUCAAGAAUGUUCAUGUGGACCGCAACGCUCUAAGAAUCCAGCUCUCUUGGGCUCCAAGCUCUCUGGGGCUUCACCCAGUGACAAUGGCCCGAAGGACAGGACACAGUGAAAUGGCACCAGUGAGUCAGAGGCCAAAGGAGGAUUUCUGGCCCAAGCGCGCAGGAUGUGCUUUGUCUUAAUGAGGUUGCGGUAGUGGAGCAGAGGCAAGGACACUCAGAAUAAAUGGCAGAGAAAAAGGCGCGCUAGGGAGGAUCCGAAGCCUUCAGACUUCUCCUUCCUCUCCUUCCAGUUGGAAGGUGGGACCAACAUGGUCCCUGAAGGAGAGGUCCUUGGGGUGCAGAGAAUGGGAUCACUGCAACGGGGCGUUGCGAGCCCCACACAAGGCUUCUGGCACCCUUCUCCCAGCUAUUACUGAUGAGUUCAAACUAGGAGGAGAUGAAGACUUGUCCUUUGCAAUGUAGACUCCAUAUCUCGCAAUCCGGCUGGUGUGCUAAAUCCAUCUUAAUAAAACACAAAAACCAAGAACCAAA